rnacentral:tRNA from 1 species
GCCCCCAUGGACAAGAGGUUAAGUCACUGCCCUUUCAAGGCAGAAUCACGGGUUCGAUUCCCGUUGGGGGCA